GAUGAAGAACGCAGCGACAUGCGAUAAGUAAUGUGAAUUGCAGAAUUCAGUGAAUCAUCGAAUCUUUGAACGCACAUUGCGCCCCCUGGUAUUCCGGGGGGCAUGCCUGUCCGAGCGUCAUUACAACCCUCAAGCUCAGCUUGGUGUUGGGCCCCGCCGCCCCGGCGGGCCCUAAAGUCAGUGGCGGUGCCGUCCGGCUCCGAGCGUAGUAAUUCUUCUCGCUCUGGAGGUCCGGUCGUGUGCUCGCCAGCAACCCCCAAUUUUUUUCAGGUUGACCUCGGAUCAGGUAGGGAUACCCGCUGAACUUAAGCAUAUCAAUAAGCGGAGGA
rnacentral:misc_RNA from 1 species